rnacentral:rRNA from 1 species
AGUUUGAUCCUGGCUCAGGACGAACGCUGGCGGCGCGCCUAAUACAUGCAAGUCGAGCGAGAACCAGGGCUUGCCCUGGGGAGAGCGGCGAACGGGUGCGUAUCACGUGAGCAACCUGCCUCAGAGACCGGGAUAACUCGAGGAAACUCGGGCUAAUACCGGAUGCCCUCGUUGGACCGCAUGGCCCGGCGAGGAAAUGGAUUCCGCUCUGAGAUGGGCUCGCGGCCUAUCAGCUUGUUGGUGGGGUAACGGCCUACCAAGGCAACGACGGGUAGCUGGUCUGAGAGGACGAUCAGCCACACUGGGACUGAGACACGGCCCAGACUCCUACGGGAGGCAGCAGUAGGGAAUCUUGCGCAAUGGGGGAAACCCUGACGCAGCGACGCCGCGUGCGGGAUGAAGGCCUUCGGGUCGUAAACCGCUUUCAGCAGGGACGAAAUUGACGGUACCUGCAGAAGAAGGCCCGGCCAACUACGUGCCAGCAGCCGCGGUA